UUUUAUAAACUUAAUACGUAUAUGGUAUACCCAUCACCCAAUCAUAUUUUAAACUAAAACAAUUCUUAACCUAAUAAGAACCUCAUGUCCUCACUUCUCAGUAGCAGUAGCGACUCAGCAAGGCAGCAACAGAAACACUGAACACCCAGAGCAACUCUGCGACGGCAAGAUCGCAGAUUGACUUGGCCUAGAUCGGACAUUACGAGAUUGGGAAAUAAGAAUCUCAGCCUUCAACGUGUCGCGGCGGCGUCGCCCUUGACCUCAGGCAACAUUAAGGUCGGCGAUGGAUUUUCAUUAUUUCUGUGUACUACAAUGAGGAGACAUAUUAUUAUGAGUUGCAUGGGUUGUCAUAACAAGGUCCAGGCCAAAAGCAGAAAUAUAGGUGAAACGUGGGGUAAGAAACCUCACUGACCCUCACUUCAGCAUAACAUAUCCAUCGUAUAUCGAGCACCUCAGCAAGUUGUUGGCACCUAGGUUUUCUACAAUUCAUUACAGUUAUUGAGCAACGUCGAAGUGAAAAUGAUGUGAGAAUUUAUUGAACAACUGCAACUAAAGGGAUUCAUUGCUUCUGAUCUCUAUGUCAUUAUAGAGGCCGCUAUAGUAAAGGUUGGCGAGAGUUCACAGCAUGCCGUUUUGGAUGGAAUUGGAGAUGAGCAUAUCGAAUCAAUACCAUUACAGUCUUAUCAAUGGUGUGUAGAGAACACAGGAGAUGGGUACAAUGAUUUGUAUUGGAUAUUUCUGCCCUUUGACUCCAUUGAGGAGGAAGAAGGGUACCAGGUAGUACAUGAAGGAGAGCAUUUAUCGUAUAAUGAGGUACAUGGGGGCAAAUCCUAAUAUGCAGAUGUUCACAGACUUGGGGACGAUGCAACCCAUAAUAUAGUUUGGCAUCAUAUGCAAAAUGUUGAAUCACUAGAGAGAAAAGGAAUAAUUCAUUUCUAUAAUGCUGUUGAAACAGACCUUUAUUAUAUGCAACCACUUCCUCUCCAAGAAGUAAAAAGUUAGUAGCUAAUAUAGUUGGACUUGUACCACCACUACAUGCUGUGUAAUAGUAGAAUAUGAGACCAGCAUAUUUGCAUGUGAUCUGCUAAAACUUGCAUGGGAAGAAAAGAAAUUAAAGAAAUUUAAAUUUUCUA